rnacentral:piRNA from 1 species
UACUACGUUAAUCAAUUAGUGUGAACAA